AGGGUAAUAGGUCAUUGGUAGAGCACAUGCUUAGCAUGCAGGAGGUCCUGGGUUCAAUCCCCAGUACCUCCA
rnacentral:tRNA from 1 species